rnacentral:sRNA from 1 species
CUCGACAGCGUCUAGGGUUCCGGCGUCACGCACGUGUCUGGUCCGAGCGACGCCACCGCGACUCCCGAUGAGGCGCGGUCAUCUGAACGGACAAAAGCCUGGAGGAU